UACGUAGGGGGCAAGCGUUGUCCGGAAUCAUUGGGCGUAAAGCGCGCGUAGGUGGCCUCAUAAGUCCGCUGUGAAAGUCAAAGGCUCAACCUUUGAAAGCCGGUGGAUACUGUGAGGCUAGAGUACGGAAGAGGCGAGUGGAAUUCCUGGUGUAGCGGUGGAAUGCGCAGAUAUCAGGAGGAACACCAAUAGCGAAGGCGGCUCACUGGCCCGGUACUGACGCUGAGGCACGAAAGCGUGGGGAGCAAACAGG
rnacentral:rRNA from 1 species